GCACCUGCCUCUUUCCUAUUCCUCGCUGUGCAGUGCAGGUCUGGGGGCACUUGGUGCUACAGCACAGCAGUGGAAAUCCAGAUGGGUUCUUUCCCACUGGUUUGGGACUCAUCUCUACACCUCUGCAACACCA
ensembl:snoRNA